rnacentral:lncRNA from 1 species
GACUCAACACUUGAUUUGACUAUCUGAUGACCGUCAUCUUGUAAGAGAUUGGAUUGACUUAUCAUGAUAUGAGUCCUCUUCCUAAUUGACUCAUCCUUCAAGUAAGUUUGGAGAAGAGGAAGAAGGAGGGGGGUUUGGUUAACUAGAUCUCUAAACGAGUUAGAAGCAAAAGAAAAGAAGUGAUCCUUAAAUAGUGGAGAGGGGCCAUGAGAGGAGACAACACGAGAUAAAUGAUAGGAUGAUCUACUAGUGAAAGACUUAGAGAAGAUGGAAUGAAAUUGAGGAUGAAGAAAAAGCUCCUCUGUGCCCAAAGUCAUUGGACCUAAGAUGGGGGGAUAGAAAGUUAGAGAGGGGAGAUAGAGGGAGAGAAAAAAAAGAGGAGAGAAGAUAAAAGAGAAAGGGAGAGAGAAGGAGGGGCUAGUUGGUAAUUAAAUUUAACUGACAUUAAAGAUGGCCAGAUUUGACCAACAAAGAUAGAUCCUAAAGCAACUACAUUGAGAUCUAAAGGGGGGAG